rnacentral:rRNA from 1 species
AUUGAACGCUGGCGGCAGGCCUAACACAUGCAAGUCGAACGAGCGGCGGACGGGUGAGUAAUGUAUGGGGAUCUGCCCGAUAGAGGGGGAUAACUACUGGAAACGGUAGCUAAUACCGCAUACUAUCGGAUGCACCCAUCUGGGAUUAGCUAGUUGGUGGGGUAAAGGCUCACCUGGGCGACGCUCUCUAGCUGGUCUGAGAGGAUGAUCAGCCACACUGGGACUGAUACACGGCCCAGACUCCUACGGGAUGGAGCAGUGGGGAAUAGUGCACAAUGGGCGAAAGCCUGAUGCAGCCAUGCCGCGUGUAUGAAGAAGGCAUUAGGGUUGUAAAGUACUUUCGGAAGGGAGGCGUUAUCUGCAGAAGAAGCACCGGCUAACUCCGUGCCAGCAGCCGCGGUAAUAC